rnacentral:rRNA from 1 species
UACGUAGGACGCAAGCGUUAUCCGGAGUUACUGGGCGUAAAGCGCGUGCAGGCGGCCUCGCAAGUCUGAUGUGAAAGCACUCGGCUCAACCGAGUGAUGCCAUUGGAAACUACAAGGCUGGAGUCUGGCAGAGGUAGGCGGAAUUCCGGGUGGAGUGGUGAAAUGCGUAGAGAUCCGGAGGAACACCAGAGGCGAAGGCGGCCUACUGGGCCAGUACUGACGCUGAGCCGCGAAAGCCAGGGGAGCGAACGGG